rnacentral:miRNA from 1 species
GCCUCUUCCUCUCGGUCCCAUAUUGAACUCGAUUUGGAAGAGGCGAGUCCGAUCUCAAA